CUUUUUUAUUUAAAAAAUAUAUAUAUUUUAUUAGGUGUACAUGUAAUAACUGUGCAAAAAUGCCAACUGAAGAGGAAAACAUCUGCUGCAAAGAAAUACAGAAGGUUGUAAAACGAAUGAUGGAGGUUCCAGACCCUCCUAAAUAUAUGGUUGAGCAUCCAGGUUUUGAACCAAACUGCUUAAAUCCGUAUACUUUGCAAAAUAUCAAUAAUAUUUAGAGCCGACUAUGGACCAGUGAGACGCAGAAAUGAAGAGGAGUAAGUAUUUAUUAAAUUUAAUGAAAUUAUGUUGUGUAAAAUAAUAUAAAUAAAAAACAAAUAUAUAUUUACACAAGACAUGUUACUCAAAGACAAAAAUUAAAUCAAAAUAUCAAUUUUUAUCAAACAUAUUUUCACAUCACAUAUACAUGUUUCCAAUAUACCACUGGUUUUAUACACAAUAUUGAGGUUUUCUGUUCCUGCCAUAGGCGCUUCCAUUAUCUGGCCAAUCGCAGCUUUGUCAGCUGGUGCUGGGGCUACCUAGGACGUAGUGUGAGGGUUGUCAUCCCCUCAUGUGUUGUUAACCGGAUCCGCCUACAGUUUCCUGAUCCAGCGGGACAGUAUGUUGGGUUCCGGCCACCCCUCGACUGAAUCGUGACACACGCUGGGCAAUCACCUCUUCUUUGGAAGGUUUUUCAUACUGUGAUGACAGAGGAGGUGGAAUGGGGAUUGCAUGCAGCUCUUCCGCAUAUGGCUUGGGGUCCACAAAGACUUUAUGUAACAGAAGGCUCAUAAGGUCAUCGACAUAGUCUGUAAAGAACAGAAUACUGAGUCCCUCUAUGGGUUUAUAUAAUUACUGAUAAAUAAUCUACCUUUGUUUUAUAAUUAACAUUUGUGUAAUAUUUAUAAAUAUUUUUUGUAAGCUUAUAUUUCUUUCAUUAUAGCUUUUGUUAUAUUAUUGUUAAUAAAACAUUUUACAACUUA